GGUAGGUACUCGAGUGGCGAACGGGUGAGUAACACGUGGGUGAUCUGCCCUGCACUCUGGGAUAAGCCUUGGAAACUGGGUCUAAUACCGGAUAGGACCGCACUUUAGUGUGUGUGGUGGAAAGUUUUUUCGGUGUAGGAUGAGCCCGCGGCCUAUCAGCUUGUUGGUGGGGUAAUGGCCUACCAAGGCGGCACGGGUAGCCGGACUGAGAGGUUGGUCGGCCACAUUGGGACUGAGAUACGGCCCAG
rnacentral:rRNA from 1 species